AAAACAACCCUCAGCAAUGGAUAUCUUGGCUCUCGCAACGAUGAAGAACGCAGCGAAAUGCGAUACGUCGUGUGAAUUGCAGAAUGCCGUGAAUCAUUAUACCUUUGAACGCAAAUUGCGCUCUAGACUUCGGUCAAGAGCAUGCCUGCCUCAGCGUC
rnacentral:rRNA from 1 species